AGUCGAACGAAGCGCUUAAACGGAUUUCUUCGGAUUGAAGUUUUUGCGACUGAGUGGCGGACGGGUGAGUAACGCGUGGGUAACCUGCCUCAUACAGGGGGAUAACAGUUAGAAAUGACUGCUAAUACCGCAUAAGCGCACAGUGCUGCAUGGCACAGUGUGAAAAACUCCGGUGGUAUGAGAUGGACCCGCGUCUGAUUAGCUAGUUGGUGGGGUGACGGCCUACCAAGGCGACGAUCAGUAGCCGGCCUGAGAGGGUGAACGGCCACAUUGGGACUGAGACACGGCCCAAACUCCUACGGGAGGCAGCAGUGGGGAAUAUUGCACAAUGGGGGAAACCCUGAUGCAGCGACGCCGCGUGAGCGAAGAAGUAUUUCGGUAUGUAAAGCUCUAUCAGCAGGGAAGAAAAUGACGGUACCUGACUAAGAAGCACCGGCUAAAUACGUGCCAGCAGCCGCGGUAAUACGUAUGGUGCAAGCGUUAUCCGGAUUUACUGGGUGUAAAGGGAGCGUA
rnacentral:rRNA from 1 species